rnacentral:rRNA from 1 species
CGAACGCUGGCGGCAGGCCUAAUACAUGCAAGUCGAACGGCUCUUCGGAGCAGUGGCGGACGGGUGAGUAACGCGUGGGAAUGUGCCCUUUGGUACGGAACAACACAGGGAAACUUGUGCUAAUACCGUAUGUGCCCUUCGGGGGAAAGAUUUAUCGCCAUUGGAGCAGCCCGCGUUGGAUUAGGUAGUUGGUGAGGUAAAGGCUCACCAAGCCUACGAUCCAUAGCUGGUCUGAGAGGAUGACCAGCCACACUGGGACUGAGACACGGCCCAGACUCCUACGGUAGGCAGCAGUAGGGAAUCUUGCGCAAUGGGCGAAAGCCUGACGCAGCCACGCCGCGUGUAUGAUGAAGGUCUUAGGAUUGUAAAAUACUUUCACCGGGGAAGAUAAUGACGGUACCCGGAGAAGAAGCCCCGGCUAACUUCGUGCCAGCAGCCGCCGCAGUAA